rnacentral:SRP_RNA from 1 species
GCCAGGCAUGGUGGCGGGCACCUGUAAUCCCAGCUACUCAGGAGGCUGAGGCAGAAGAAUAGCCUGAACCUGGAAGGCGGAGCUUGCAGCGAGCCGAGAUCGCGCCAUUGCACUCCAGCCUAAUCCCAGCACUUUGGGAGGCCGAGGCGGGCGGAUCACGAAGUCAGGAGAUUGAGACCACGGUGAAACACCGUCUCUACUAAAAAUACAAAAAAAAUUAGCUGGGCGCGGUGGCGGGCGCCUGCAGUCCCAGCUACUAGGGAGGCUGAGGCAGGAGAAUGGNNNCGGCCUCCCAAAGUGCUGGGAUUAGGCUGGAGUGCAAUGGCGCGAUCUCAGCUCGCUGCAAGCUCCGCCUUCCAGGUUCAGGCUAUUCUUCU